UACGUAGGGUGCAAGCGUUGUCCGGAAUUAUUUUGGGCGUAAAGGGCUCGUAGGCGGUUUUCGUCACGUCGGGAGUGAAAACUCGGAGCUCAACUCCGAGCCUGCUUCCGAUACGGGCAGACUAGAGGUAGGCAGGGAGAGCGGAACUCCUGGUGUAGCGGUGGAAUGCGCAGAUAUCAGGAAGAACACCGGUGGCGAAGGCGGCUCUCUGGGCCUUACCUGACGCUGAGGAGCGAAAGCGUGGGUAGCGAACAGG
rnacentral:rRNA from 1 species